rnacentral:lncRNA from 1 species
AACAUACUGAGGGAAAGGGCCGCUCGGAAAGAUCUAGGAAUGAACACCCAUCCUCACACCCCAGGAGUGCCUUGGUUUCAGAAAGCAGCUGGAACAUUAAUGGCAAUUCCACUUUCCCAUUCAUCGCCCCCGCCCCCACCACCCCACCAAGAAACUCAGUGGGAAUGAAUGGUCUACACAGAGAAACUGAAAUCUGGUUAGUCAAGAAGGAAAAAACAACCAAGUGCCUGGCAUUAAGAGGAUUUUUUUUUUAAGCUCAGCCUAUGGACAACAAAAGCAUGGACUGUAUUUCUCAGCAUCUUUUGCAGCUUAUUGUUGAAAGUCCAGUGAGCUACCUCAGGCUUUUCUCUGUGGAAUGACUGUUGCAGAGAACUGCACCUCAGAAGAAUGGAGUUUAAAACUGUGAUGACAUUCUACCUCAUUGAAGAAAUCCUCCAGUGCCAAGGGUGGAUCUCUAAAGAAGGAUUCAAUCCAGGAUCACAUCUUAUAUUUACAAUAACAUGCCUUUUUUCUCCUUCAGUCUGGAACCGUGUCUCAGUCUAUCU